GAUGAACGCUAGCUACAGGCUUAACACAUGCAAGUCGAGGGGAGACGAUAUUGGAAGCUUGCUUCCGAUAGGCGUCGACCGGCGCACGGGUGAGUAACGCGUAUCCAACCUGCCCACCACUUGGUGAUAACCUUGCGAAAGUAAGACUAAUACCCAAUGAUAUCUCUAGAAGACAUCCGAAGGCGAUUAAAGAUUCAUCGGUGAUGGAUGGGGAUGCGUCUGAUUAGCUUGUUGGCGGGGUAACGGCCCACCAAGGCGACGAUCAGUAGGGGUUCUGAGAGGAAGGUCCCCCACAUUGGAACUGAGACACGGUCCAAACUCCUACGGGAGGCAGCAGUGAGGAAUAUUGGUCAAUGGGCGAGAGCCUGAACCAGCCAAGUAGCGUGCAGGAUGACGGCCCUAUGGGUUGUAAACUGCUUUUAUAAGGGAAUAAAGUGAGUCUCGUGAGACUUUUUGCAUGUACCUUAUGAAUAAGGACCGGCUAAUUCCGUGCCAGCCGCCGCCGUAA
rnacentral:rRNA from 1 species